GUCCCAGUAGCGUAAGGGACAGCGCGUUGGAUUUUUAAUCCAAAGGUCGUGGGUUUAAUUACCACCUGGAAUG
rnacentral:tRNA from 1 species